rnacentral:rRNA from 1 species
UACAGAGGUCUCAAGCGUUGUUCGGAUUCAUUGGGCGUAAAGGGUGCGUAGGCGGCGCGGUAAGUCGGGUGUGAAAUCUCGGGGCUUAACUCCGAAACUGCAUUCGAUACUGCCGUGCUUGAGGACUGGAGAGGAGACUGGAAUUUACGGUGUAGCAGUGAAAUGCGUAGAGAUCGUAAGGAAGACCAGUGGCGAAGGCGGGUCUCUGGACAGUUCCUGACACUGAGGCACGAAGGCCCAGGGGAGCAAACGGG